CUCUUAGAGGGGGUUCAACCCUCUCUAACCCCCAGCAUGACAACAGGCAUGCCCUGGCCACACUGGACUCGACUCUGGAGGGAGGAACAGACGACAUGGCUGUUGUGGAUGCCACCUCUCUACGCAGACAGAUUGUCAAGCUGAACCGGCGUUUGCAGCUCUUGGAGGAGGAGAACAAAGAGAGAGUCAAGCGAGAAAUGAUCAUGUAUUCCAUCACUGUAGCUUUCUGGCUUAUCAACAGCUGGGUUUGGUUCCGUCGCUGAAGCUACAUGGACUCAGCAAUGUGGGAGGGGCAAAAUCAAAACUCCGCCCCUCUGUUCUAUGUGUCAAACUUUAGCCGUAUUUUUUUAAUGGCUAAAAUGUUUUAUUUUCUUCACAGUAAGAGCGGUAAAGUCAGAGAUGGCUUUUGUGUUGUUCUUUGGGUUUGUCUGUCUGGUUUCAUUUUAUUAUU